rnacentral:rRNA from 1 species
AUGAACGCUGGCGGCGUGCCUAAUACAUGCAAGUCGAGCGAACGGACGAGAAGCUUGCUUCUCUGAUGUUAGCGGCGGACGGGUGAGUAACACGUGGAUAACCUACCUAUAAGACUGGGAUAACUUCGGGAAACCGUAGCUAAUACCGGAUAAUAUUUUGAACCGCAUGGUUCCAAAGUGAAAGACGGUCUUGCUGUCACUUAUAGAUGGAUCCGCGCUGCAUUAGCUAGUUGGUAAGGUAACGGCUUACCAAGGCAACGAUGCAUAGCCGACCUGAGAGGGUGAUCGGCCACACUGGAACUGAGACACGGUCCAGACUCCUACGGGAGGCAGCAGUAGGGAAUCUUCCGCAAUGGGCGAAAGCCUGACGGAGCAACGCCGCGCGAGUGAUGAAGGUCUUCGGAUCGUAAAACUCUGUUAUUAGGGAAGAACAUAUGUGUAAGUAACUGUGCACAUCUUGACGGUACCUAAUCAGAAAGCCACGGCUAACUACGUG